AGUCUGAUAAUAGGAACAUUCGUCUGAUCAGUGACUAAAUAUAAGAUCGAGACAACACAUAGAAAUAUAUGUAAUGAACCAAACGAAACAGUAUCGUGAUACAUUUCGAGCUACCUAAAUUGUAUCAUCAGUUUGAUGCUAAUCUAUUAUUACUGAAUGUACUUCUGAUAGUCAGUUCGAGCUACGUACCUGUUGGUUGCCUCGAUCACUCAUGUCAUUGCUACAAUUCAGUUACUCACGCCAGUACCUCGUCUUCUACAGCUCACACUGCUCCCCACUAUGGUUUCAUUAUGUUACUGUGUGAGCAGUGUACUAAGUGGAAGUACACGCGUAACGGACAUGUACGGGCCGUAUUUUCAAACACGAUGGGGAUAUUAGCAAGUGACUGAGACGAUCGCCUGUCAUGUUACUGUGGUUAAGUGUUUGUUUGUUGUGGGAAAUGUUCUCUCCUGUGCGGAUAUACUGGAUGUAUCAAGAUAAUGGAAAAAUUAUUGCUUACCACGUGCCAGGGAAGAAACAGACGCUCUUUAUCUCCUACAAUUCACUGGAUUACCUUGCUGCUGGCGCUCAUUGAUCUGGCGAGGUGACGGCAGCCCACGUACUGGAGAUAAAACGGUGAAGAUUAGACGCAAGGAAAAAUAUACUGACACUAUGAAGAUUACACCCAAAUGUUUUCUUUCGUGAGAUUCCUCCUCCUCCUCCUCCUCCUCC